UUGCACUGAUUAGAAUAUCAUAAAUAAUAACGACAAAACCCCGUUCAGUCCAUAGGAAUCUUUAGCAUUUUGUUUUGAAAUGACCAUCAAGUAGUGAUGAUUCCAAUUAUUGAAUUUAGUAUUGACGGAAUAACUAAAAGGAGAACGAACGCCAAUGAACCGACUAGAGGAGAUGCAUGUUCGGUUGAGAUAUAGCUGAAUAACGUUGUUACUCGCCUAUCGUCAGCCUGUAAGUAUUGGGACACGUGUCAUACAGAUAAUGAUUUCAAUGAUAUUUAUUUUAUAAUGAUUACCAACUGGGUUAUGAUUACAGGUAGUCAUCCAGAUAACACUUUGUAACCAUUUCUGACUCAGUACCCGGCACUCAUCACAAACUCGGCAUACUGGGGUACUGGUAGAAUACAGAAAGCCACUCGAACGAAAUGCUCUGAGGAAAAUAUCUAAGUAGACAUCUUUAGAAAACCUAUGCGAUAAACAUGAACACCUUCAACCAUCAAAUGCCGAAAGGGAUUGUAA